AUUUAUUUAUGCUAACACAACGAUCCAAAGCAACCUAUUUCUUAAAAGAAUUAAUAACUGCUAGUAUUUCUUGGGUUGACAAAAACUUUCUUAAUGCCCGGUAGUAGGAGGUUCGGAUCCGGAGGCGGAUGAGGAAGCUUGUACUCCGACCUUGCUGGUGGCCGAGGGAUGGAGCACAAUCCGACAAUGGAGCUUCGAGUAUGGAUCCGACUCAAGGAAAGCCAGUUGGUCCGUAUCGAAGAAAAUUCGGAUUUGGCGGGUUAGAAUUGAAUUAAUUUUUUUUUUUUUUUUUUUUUUAAGAACCCUAGAUUCAAGAUGGUGAUUUGGGGAACCUAAGAGAGCACGUUUCUGUUUUUGUUCAUCCUGUGUGUGUGUGUGUAUUUUAGAUUUCUUAUCAUAUGUUUGUAUGAUGAAGAUGAAUACAUAUAUGCAGAUAACAAAUUAUAUGCUCAAAAAACGUGAAAACACACCAAAGCAAUAUUUUAUUUCAAAGUAUUCAAAAUAUGCACAGAUCACGAUAUUAAGGAUGGAAUGGGUUUUGAUUGCAGAUGGAAUGGGUUUUCAUUAUGAACGUUUUAUACAUAUAUAUGCCAACAUGAAAUCCCAGCAGCCACAUCAAUUAUAGGUACGAAAAUUCAACGCGAGGUUGAAAAGUUUUGAAACAGUUGAGGUAGUAUAUUGAUUUAAUAAUGGAUUUUGAUCUUAACAUGCCGCUCUGAUACCAAUUGCUAGAUUUAAUGAAUAACAUGCAAAGAAUCAAGAAUCAUCAAAUAAUAAAUUAAUAAACCAAAUUCAUACCUGCGGAAGUCAUUGUUGAUAUGAAUAGUAGUUAUAAUAGCAGUCAAGAUCUUCUCCUCCUUGCUCCUCACAAAAGUAUUAGCUAUCAAUGGGGCAAGCUAAUGAAAACAUAUGGAGAUGGGACUUAACCUUUAUAUAUAAGAAAUAAUUUGAGCCGUCCCAUUACGACUAAAAUUCUAAUUAGAGUUUAUUUUCGACCCACAUACUUUAACCUACCACAUAAAAUUAAUUACAACACGUUAGGUGUAAAAUGCUCAAUUGAUCACUUAAUAAAUUUGGCCCAAACACAAAUAUUAUUAUGAGCCAUACAACUAACCUUUAAAAUCUGCAAUCCAAUCUGAAGCGCAUAUGAAAUAAUUAAUUAUUCCAACAAGAAAACCAUAGAUCACUCGUCUCAAGAUUCUUAGAUCUUCAAACUUGACAGGUUGAAGGAGAGAUCUGCUUGAAGCACAACCAUCUCUUCGCCUAAAGCACAAUUGCCUUCGUCCUUCUUAGCCAUUGCUUUCCUAUCGAAGGUUGCCCUCUUUCUUCUCUGUUGUCGCUUGCCAAUAGUGGGAGAGAUUCGUCUCAAGCACGUUCUUUUGCCCUAAAGCUUCAUCCAGUGCUUUUGUCCUCCUACACCGUGUUUUUACCGUAAAAAACCAAUUAUAUCAAGAAAGUUUAGCUGUAAAUUUAUCAUGUUCGUUUUGUAAUUUUAUAUCAUCGACUUUUAGACCUUAUCAUUGUUAUUUUAUGAUGGUAUUAACUGUGAUUUAGGUAUUUCAUGAAUUAAAUUUUUGAGAGAGUUAUAUUUAACAAUGAAAAAUGUUGUUUGUAUUGUCAUUAGUUCAAAGAAGUGCCUAUUAAAUUACAGUCAAAUCUGGAAUGCUGUUUGUGUUUAUUAGUCACCAUAUUCAGUUCUGAAUUUCCAAUUUUUUGUCGUUUCAGGUUUUAAUUCUGCAUAUCCUCUUU
rnacentral:lncRNA from 1 species